rnacentral:rRNA from 1 species
UACGGAGGAUCCGAGCGUUAUCCGGAUUUAUUGGGUUUAAAGGGUGCGUAGGUGGUUUCUUAAGUCAGAGGUGAAAGGCUACGGCUCAACCGUAGUAAGCCUUUGAAACUGGGAAACUUGAGUGCAGGAGAGGAGAGUGGAAUUCCUAGUGUAGCGGUGAAAUGCGUAGAUAUUAGGAGGAACACCAGUUGCGAAGGCGGCUCUCUGGACUGUAACUGACACUGAGGCACGAAAGCGUGGGGAGCAAACAGGAUUAGAUACCCGGGUAGUCCCUGAGCGGGCU